rnacentral:tRNA from 1 species
GCGGGAGUCGCCUAGCCAGGCAAUGGCGCAGGACGCAGAAUCCUGUGGGUUAGUCCCUUCGUGAGUUCGAAUCUCACCUCCCGCA